rnacentral:rRNA from 1 species
UAAUACGUAGGAGGCGAGCGUUAUCCGGAUUUACUGGGCGUAAAGAGAGCGUAGGCGGUUCUUCAAGUCGGAUGUAAAAUCUCCCGGCUUAACUGGGAGGGACCAUCCGAUACUGUUGGGCUAGAGGGCAGCAGAGGGAGGUGGAAUUCCCGGUGUAGUGGUGAAAUGCGUAGAUAUCGGGAGGAACACCAGUGGCGAAGGCGGCCUCCUGGGCUGUUUCUGACGCUGAGGCUCGAAAGCGUGGGGAGCGAACAGGAUUAGAUACCCUGGUAGUCCACGCCAUAAACGAUGGACACUAGGUAUGGGGAGUAUCGACCCUCUCCGUGCCGAAGCUAACGCCUUAAGUGUCCCGCCUGGGGAUUACGGCCGCAAGGCUA